CAGAAACCCUAAAAAUAGACCCGAGAAAGGUUAUAUAAACCAUCGUCGAGUAAGUUCCAGGGUGCUCAUUUUCGUUCACUUUGCCUUCUCCUGCAAAUGUUUGUCCGAAGCCGACGCUCGAGGUUGAGGUUACCCUUGGAGGGCCUAGGCGAGGGUGGAUUCAGGCGACGAGGUGAUGGAGGACGGAGAAGAGGAAGCGGAGGCGGUGGAAGAGGUGGAGAAGGUGGUGUCAGAGGACGCGGCGGUGUCCGUGGCGGCAUAGGAGGCCGUGCGGGCUGAAUGGAAGGGGGUAAGUCAGGUAGUGAUCAAGCCUCACAGGUACGAAGGAGUGUUCAUCACUAAGGGGAAAGAAGAUUCUCUCGCCACUAAAAACUUGGUCCCCGGGCUGCAGUUCACGGUGAGAAGGGGUUCGUCUUGCAGAUAUUUUCUGAUGUUUCAGAGACUCGAAAAGGAUGGACUUCAUGACAAAGGUUGUUGGAUUCAGGUGCUUCAGGAUGUGUUGAAGUUAAUAGCAAUGAAAUGGGGGGAGCAAUAGAGUUUUCUUUUGUGUGAUUUUGAUAAAAUCUACUUCAACCAUCAAAACUGGAACACAUAGCAUUCAUUGAAGGAGUUAUUUUACUAUUCUACUGUUUAUUUGUAUACGUCAUAUUGCAUAGAUGCAGGCAUUUUGUAUAUUUUAGAUUUGUAUAUUGGAUCAAAUAUAGAUUUUUGUUUUUUUUGAUAGUAUUGUAAACCUAAAAAAGAUGUGUAAGGGUCCCCAAGACCAUGAAGUGGUUGUUGGGUCUGAUAGGGGUCUAUCGGUUGUAAGUGGGAGAUAUUCACCAUUAUAGAUAAAAACAUGUUACACAUUCAA